GCCUUUGUCGCAGCUCCGCAGCCCCUCGUGGCGCUACGUGGCCCUCAGGGCAGGGCACGGGGUGGUUCUGCGCUGCCCCCCCCCUGCAUAGACCCCUCGAGCCCCUCAGGCAUCGCCCUGUGCAGCUUGAACCUGGCACUGCUCCCCUACAAUCCCCUCACCGCCACCCCACAGCCUUCCCCGGUGCUCAGGGCCCUUUUGAGUGCCCCCAGCCCCGUUCCCUCACAUGACCCUAUUUCAGCCAUCAGCGCCGUGACCCCAGCCAGCUGGAGCUCUCUUCUCCACUACUGCCACCCCGCCGGCACCCAAGGGGCACCAAGGAACUGUCUCCGUCAGCAGGGGCCUGGAGCUGUGGCUGAGAGCAAAGCUGGAGCCUGCAGAGCUUGGGGAACGCUCACCAUCAGGACAGACAUUAACAGCCUUGUCCUGGCCUGGAUGAGAAGGAACACACACAAAAAAACACGCCAUGGGAUCACAGGGGGCAUGAGGCCAGAUUGCCAGUCCCCCUGCCAGACUCACCCACAGGAGGAAGAGCCAGAGAGCUUGCAGGGAACCGCACCAAGCUCCAAAGGCUGGCAGGCAGGUAUGAGCUAAAUAGCCUCUUCAUGAGUCCUGUAGGUGUUCCUAGCAGUUAUCUGGGCAGCACUGCUAGGCUGGGUUAAGAAUCCCACAUUACAUUGAAAAAUACACACUCAGGAAGACCUCAGGUAAAUCGUAAGAAGCGUAAGGCUCUCCCGUGUUUCCACAAGAAUUACAGUGUUCCUCUAGCAGGGCCAGGGCCACUCUCUUGUCCUCGUUCCCACCUCCUGACCACAGCUGCAGCUUCACCCCAGAACCUGCAUCAUACUCAGUAGCCACCUUUGUUACCAAAAGUGCCAGUUUUUGAAGUGUGAGCUCCCAAGGGACCGCAAGCAACCACAAAGUAAGAGAGGUGUCACACACCCACGGGGUGGUGCAGACCAAAUCUCAUUGUUACAGCCUUUAAAAACAGGCUCAAAACCAUUUAAAACAGGCCAAGUGAUUGAAUAGGCUCAACCGAUAGAUUGAUUUAACUGCUCCCAGGAGUCUUGUGAAGUGUGACUCACUGCUAAUGAAUGGGGGUUAAGACCACAGAGCCAAAGGAAUUAUCAGUAAGGGAUAGUGCUGAGAAGUCCAGGUCCAGAAGGAAGAGUUUCUGAACAUCCUGUUGGUUUGCGUCUAGAUUUAAAUAUUACAGCAGUGAUAGCACUGCUGCUCCUUGCAGAGUAAACAGGCUCCAGGCGUUUUAGUGCAUCCAUGAGACUUGCUCAGAACAGCCCCAAGCAGAUGUAGGUGUACUUGAGUUCCAUCACUUAUGUCUCUAAGCAACAAAAACCUACUUUUUCUAAAAGGCACACUAUUGUUAGCUGCAGUUACAGGCUUGACAUGAGGAACGCCACGUGAAACUCAUCAAUCCAUCCGCAUUGGAUGGGAAGUCAGACAAGAUGAGUGCUACGGCCUUAGAAAAAAAAUCUACUUACUGCUUAUAUUGCUAAAAAGGCAAAUAGCAAUGACUGCACAGUCAAGGUUGCUUUCAAAGGUGUUUCUAGUCGUCCAACCAAACACAAGGCUUGAUGGAAAGCACCAGAAACCAUCAAGCUGACCCUAUGCUUAAACAAUUCAAUUAAUGCUCCUUUAAAAUGUAUACGCUCAUCAGUCCCUAAGAAUGCUGCACUAUGCCAGAACUCCACCCUGGAGAAUAUCAAGGGCGGUUCUAUCAAGUUCUACUUUGACCAUCUCCUUUUUGCUAUUCUGUUAUCAGCACCUUAAGACAGCCCACCACACACACUGCCAAGGCCUAAAGAGUAGGGAUAUUGGAUCACAGAGCAACAUUCCCCCUUUGAUCUUUGCCCCUGAGUAAGACAGCGGCUCACACCAAGAAAAAUUUGACUACUAUGGAGCAAAGAAGUGAGGAAUGUGGAAAAAACAAAAGUGGAAUUGUUACUUGGCAAAAAAAA